GUACGGAAGGCAGCGAGUGGGGAAUACUUGCACAAUGGGCGAAAGCCUGAUGGCAGCUAUGCCGCGUGUAUGAAGAAGGCCUUAGGGUUGUAAAGUACUUUCAUCGGGGAGGAAAAAACAAAACUAAUAAUUUUAUUUCUUGACGUUACCCGAAAAAGAAGCACCGGCUAACUCCGUGCCAGCAGCCGCGGUAAUACGGAGGGUGCUAGCGUUAAUCAGAAUUACUGGGCGUAAAGAGCACGUAGGUGGUUUUUUUAAGUCAGAUGUGAAAUCCCUGGGCUUAACCUAGGAACUGCAUUUUGAAACUGAAAUACUAGAGUAUCGUAGAGGGAGGUAGAAUUCUAGGUGUAGCGGUGAAAUGCGUAGAUAUCUGGAGGAAUACCUGUGGCGAAAGCGGCCUCCUAAACGAAUACUGACACUGAGGUGCGAAAGCGUGGGGAGCAAACAGGGAUUAGAUACC
rnacentral:rRNA from 1 species